UACAGAGGGUGCGAGCGUUAAUCGGAAUUACUGGGCGUAAAGGGCGCGUAGGUGGUUAAUUAAGUUAGAUGUGAAAUCCCUGGGCUUAACCUAGGAACUGCAUUUGAUACUGAUUGACUAGAGUGUGGUAGAGGGUAGUGGAAUUUCCGGUGUAGCGGUGAAAUGCGUAGAUAUCGGAAGGAACACCAGUGGCGAAGGCGGCUACCUGGACUAACACUGACACUGAGGCGCGAGAGCGUGGGGAGCAAACAGG
rnacentral:rRNA from 1 species